GAAAUACUCGCUCCCAGUUUGCCCCACAGCUUCCUUGAUCAACCUUGCACCAUAACCUACAUCCUCCUGCAACCAGAAAAUCCAAAAAAUUAAUGUAAUGCACCGAAUUGUCCACUCAUCUGAAAGCAGACUGAAACCAGAUUCAUGAACCGGUACCCAUCUUCUGACCUCAGCAGCCGUUUGGUAUAAUUUGGACUUGGACAUGGCCGUCGACGACACUUUCGUGCUUGAAUUAUUGCAAGAACUUUUCUUUCUUCUUGUCUCGGUGGAUAUAGAACAUGGACAAGAUCAUUUAUUUUGGGGACUUGGAAUGUCAUGUAACUUGUAAAAGAACCCUAGCAUUAGAGUUUUACGUGUAGUGGUUUAAUAGAUCUACAGCUAAUUUGGCGAUC